GACAACGCUGGCGGCGUGCCUAACACAUGCAAGUCGAACGAUUCUUUGAUUUAUAGCAAUAUUUAUUAAAGAGGAGUGGCGAACGGGUGAGUAACACGUAGAUAAUCUGCCUUUCAGACGGGGACAACUCAGGGAAACUUGUGCUAAUACCCGAUGAGACCACAAGAAGGGAUUUUGUGGCCAAAGGCGGGCAGCAAUGCUCGUGCUGAAAGAUGAGUCUGCGUCCUAUCAGCUAGUUGGUGGGGUAAAUGCCUACCAAGGCUAAGACGGGUAGCCGGCCUGAGAGGGUGAACGGCCACACUGGGACUGAGACACGGCCCAGACUCCUACGGGAGGCAGCAGUGAGGAAUUUUCCGCAAUGGGCGGCAAGCCUGACGGAGCGACGCCGCGUGAGGGAUGACAGCUUUCGGGUUGUAAACCUCUUUAUUAAGGAAAAGAAUCUAUAUGCUAAUAUCAUGUAGAUUUGAAUGGUACUUAUUGAAUAAGACCCCGGCUAACU
rnacentral:rRNA from 1 species